CGCAGUAGCAAUACUGAGUGGCAAACGGGUGAGUAUAAUGUGGGAAUCUGCCUUUUGGUUCGGAAUAACACGAGGAAACUUGUGCUAAUACCGGAUAAGCCUUUACAGGGAAAGUUUUAAUGCCAAAAGAUGAGCCCGCACUUGAUUAGCUAGUUGGUAAGGUAAAAGCUUACCAAGGCAACGAUCAAUAGCUGUUCUUAGAGGAAGACCAGCCACAUUGGGACUGAGACACGGCCCAAACUCCUACGGGAGGCAGCAGUGGGGAAUCUUGCACAAUGGGGGAAACCCUGAUGCAGCGAUGCCGCGUGAGUGAAGAAGGCCUUUGGGUUGUAAAACUCUUUCGUCGGGGAAGAAAAUGACUGUACCCGAAUAAGAAGGUCCGGCUAACUUCGUGCCAGCAGCCGCGGUAAUACGAAGGGACCUAGCGUAGUUCGGAAUUACUGGGCUUAAAGAGUUCGUAGGUGGUUAAAAUAGUUGAUGGUGAAAUCCCAAGGCUCAACCUUGGAACUGCCAUCAAAACUUUUU
rnacentral:rRNA from 1 species